UACGUAGGGUGCGAGCGUUGUCCGGAAUUAUUGGGCGUAAAGAGCUUGUAGGCGGUUUGUCGCGUCUGCUGUGAAAAUCCGGGGCUCAACCCCGGACUUGCAGUGGGUACGGGCAGACUAGAGUGUGGUAGGGGAGACUGGAAUUCCUGGUGUAGCGGUGAAAUGCGCAGAUAUCAGGAGGAACACCGGUGGCGAAGGCGGGUCUCUGGGCCGAUACUGAUGCUGAGGAGCGAAAGCGUGGGGAGCGAACAGG
rnacentral:rRNA from 1 species